rnacentral:rRNA from 1 species
GAGCGAACGCUGGCGGCAGGCCUAACACAUGCAAGUCGAACGAACCUUUCGGGGGUAGUGGCGGACGGGUGAGUAACACGUGGGAACGUGCCUUUAGGUUCGGAAUAACUCAGGGAAACUUGUGCUAAUACCGAAUGUGCCCUUCGGGGGAAAGAUUUAUCGCCUUUAGAGCGGCCCGCGUCUGAUUAGCUAGUUGGUUGAGGUAAUGGCUCACCAAGGCGACGAUCAGUAGCUGGUCUGAGAGGAUGAUCAGCCACAUUGGGACUGAGACACGGCCCAAACUCCUACGGGAGGCAGCAGUGGGGAAUCUUGCGCAAUGGGCGAAAGGCUGACGCAGCCAUGCCGCGUGAAUGAUGAAGGUCUUAGGAUUGUAAAAUUCUUUCACCGGGGACGAUAAUGACGGUACCCGGAGAAGAAGCCCCGGCUAACUUCGUG